GUGCCAUUCCAUAUAAAGUGAAGGAUAACGGCUACAGCAUUUUUUGUUAGACUUGGACAAUGUUGAAUGUACUACAGAAGCAUACUUUAAGGCUGGAGUGUAGUGGUGUGAUCAUCAUGGCUCACUGUGGCCUCAAACUCCUACUAUGGACAGGAGACAGGGAAAUACUGGGUAGAAGAGGACAGUUCCCCAGCAAAGGCCCCACCCUCAAGCCUGGAUACCCAUGGCCCUAAAUGGGAACAGGCAUUUCUGUUUUUGCACCCCAAAAGUUGACUUUUGGCCCACAUGCUCCCUAUCCUGUACCCAUAUAAACCCCAAAUUCCAGGCUCCAGAGAGAGACAAGGAGAUGAGGAGACAAGCAGACGAACAGCGGAACAAUGCAGCAGAGAAAGAGAGAAGAGAAGGAACGUCUGAACGUCGAGAGGAGUUCGGCUGCUGGACGGCCAAACUCCAGGGGAAGAUCAUCUUCCCACUCCAUUCCCCCUCCAGCUCCCCAUCCAUCCCACUGAGAGCCACUUCCACCACUCAAUAAAAGCCCCACAUUUAUCCUUCAAGUCCAUGUGUGAUCCAAUUCUUCUGGGAUGCUAAACAAGAACCUGGGAUACAGAAAGCUGUCACACUGGCCCUCUGCCCUUGCAGAAAGGCAGAGGGGCCCUGAGCUGGUUGAUACUUAAGCUGUCUGUGGAUGGCAGAACUAAAAGAGCAUUGG
rnacentral:lncRNA from 10 species